CCUACGGGAGGCAGCAGUGGGGGAUAUUGCACAAUGGGGGAAACCCUGAUGCAGCGACGCCGCGUGAGUGAAGAAGUAUUUCGGUAUGUAAAGCUCUAUCAGCUGGGAAGAAAAAAGACGGUACCUGACUAAGAAGCGCCGGCUAACUACGGGCCAGAAACGGCGGUAUUACGUAGGGGGCAAGCGUUAUUCGGGUUUACUGGGGGUAAAGGGAGCGUAGACGGGGAUACAAGUCGGAAGGGAAAUCCCCGGGGUCAACCUGGGAAAUGCUUUGGAAACUGGAUGGCUAGAGUGCUGGAGAGGUAAGCGGGAUUCCUAGUGUAGCGGUGAAAUGCGUAGAUAUUAGGAGGAACACCAGUGGCGGAGGCGGCUUACGGGACAGUAACUGACGUUGAGGCUCGAAAGCGUGGGGUGCAAACAGGAUUAGAUACCCUAGUAGUC
rnacentral:rRNA from 1 species